GUUUUUAAAACGCUUGAAAGAUUCAGAUGAAUGAUGCAAAUUUGAAGACGCCGGUAGCCAACUGACAACAACUUGAACAAAUACUUGUUUCUGUUUAUUUAACGAGACAAACACAAUCAAGGAGCUAUGAACGCAUAGAUACUCGCGGAAAUAAUACAGCAGUACAUUGUAUUACAACAAAUGGACAGAGGAGUUGAUUAUUGAUAGUGACUGAUAAUGGACUGGAGUAACCUAGUGUCCAAUGACUCUGAACAUGCCUGACAGUACUGGCAUGUGUACAUGUAUGUCGACAGCCAAUUCUAAGUAACCUUAAACGUAUUAUCUAUACAUUGUAUAUAUACAAAAGACCUACAAUAAUGAAUUAGCUCCUCAGAUAUCAGUGGAAUGGAAGUAAUACACAUCAUAUGUUUCAAUGAAAUUAACAUGAUUAAUGAUGGGAUAAGACGUAGAGGAGAUCCUAUAGCUACAGUACAUGUACAUGUAACUGCAAAUGUAUUCCAAGAGUUUAUGGCUGAUUAUGCAACUACAGGAUUUUAUCAUUGAAGCAACAUCUUAGAAGGAUAAGUGCAAAUGUAUGAAGGAAGCCUUGUGUACAAAUACAUGUAGCAAUUACAUGCAGGAGAGAACACUUAAACAUUACUAACAUGUAGUCAUGAUAUUGGAGUGGUGCAUUCUAGAAAUCAAAACACCUGGAAUUAAAUAUUGUGUAUAUUUUUUUCAACCACAAGUACUUUCAGCAUAUAAUACAAUUCAAAUUCAAAUUAUUGUGUCAACAUGACAGUUACUGUCUAAAAAUGGAAAAUGCUUGUUUUAAAAUGAAUUUUAUAUAAAA